GCGGUCGUGGCGGAAUGGUAGACGCGCAGCGUUGAGGGCGCUGUGGGCGAGAGCCCGUGGAAGUUCGAGUCUUCUCGACCGCACCA
rnacentral:tRNA from 1 species